CUCAUUAUCCGAUUAACUUUGUAGUGCCUUCCACAAUGAUUCCCGGAGCACUGGUUAUGGAUACCUGCCUAUUACUGACUCGUAAUUGGUUAAUCACAGCAUUGCUUGGCGGCGGAGCUUUUGGUUUGCUGUUUUAUCCGGGCAACUGGGUAAUUUUUGGACCGACUCACCUCCCGCUAGUAGUAGAAGGAGUACUGCUUUCUGUGGCUGACUAUACCGGAUUCCUCUAUGUGCGUACUGGUACACCUGAGUAUGUUCGGUUGAUUGAACAAGGAUCAUUACGUACCUUCUAUGGUCAUACGACGGUGAUUGCUGCGUUCUUCUCAGCUUUUGUAUCCAUGUUGAUGUUCGUUGUUUGGUGGUAUCUUGGAAGAUUCUACUGUACAGCGUUCUACUAUGUUAAAGGUCCAAGAGGCAAGAUAACAGAGAAGAUGGAUGUUACCGCUUUUGGA
rnacentral:rRNA from 1 species